AACGUAGGAGGCAAGCGUUAUCCGGAGUUACUGGGCGUAAAGAGUGCGUAGGCGGAUGAGUAAGUGGGUGGUGAAAGCGCCCGGCUAAACCGGGCGAGGUCCAUUCAGACUGCUUGUCUAGGGGCGGAUAGAGGGGUGCGGAAUUCCGGGUGUAGCGGUGAAAUGUGUAGAUAUCGGAAGGAACGCCGGUGGCGAAAGCGACGUGCUGGACCUCAACUGACACUGAGGCGCGAAAGCUAGGGGAGCAACGGG
rnacentral:rRNA from 1 species